UUCCGUAUUUAUUGACACGAUUCUUCUUUAGAAACCACAAAACCUCAGAUUCUUUUUAGAUUAAGAUAAACUCUUACUAACAGUUACUAUUUUCUGUGUGUAAUCCAGUAACCUAUCUUCUUCUCCCUGCAAAAGACCUUGAUUGUUGGUUUAUAAUCUCUUUAUUAUUUUAUUAUGUUCUUCUCUUUCGUUUUCGGACGCACAAGCGUUCUUCAAAAUUAGAGGCCGCGAUUCUACUUCUGCAUCACAUGCGUGUACUCGAGUUCAUCAUCUUCACAUACGUGUACUCAAAUGGUCGGCAGCACCAACUAGGCAACCACUAUUUUCUUCUUGUGCUACCAAAAUAUAGGCACAGUUGAGAGGUAGUCAAAACCAACCGUAGGACUAAAAUUGACAGAAACCAGCAUAGUCCUUCAUAUCUCUAUGAUAUCCAUAGUUUUUUUAAAAAUCUCUUUUGCUUUAUUAUUGUUCCUUCCUUCACAAGUGUUAUUUAAAUCUUUUGUGUUUCACACUUUUGUUUUGUUUUUAUGUUCUACACUCUUUUGGAUAUUUCAGGUCUUAACUUUAAUUUUGGGAAGAUAAACCUUUUUUUAUUUUGAUUUGAGUACAGUUUAAUUAAGGCACUUGAAGACAACACCACAAGUACUUAUAAGGAUGAAGGAAAACGUCAACAAGGACAAAUGGAAGAGGUCAAGAGGGUGAAGACAACACCACAAGUCCACCCGAAAAUAAUGUUUUACUUCUGAUCAGAACGCAAAGCCAACGGGUAUGCUCUUCGAUCGCUACUGUUUAAGCAACAGUUGCAGAGAGAUUAAUAUGUUGUGAAUGAACUCACUUCCCCUGUUUUGUCUCGGAAACAAGAAAAUAUAUUGUGGAAGGGACGCCUGCUUUCUGUAAUUGUGUUUAUGUUAAUGAUGUAAUCCAUCAACUAAUUAUGUUUCUUAAUUUACUAUUCAAUUUCAGUCCAAGGCAAUUUCAAUCUA